GUUGUUGCAGUUAAAAAGCUCGUAGUUGGAUCUCAGGCUUGUGGCCGGUGGUCCGCUCGAUACGGGUGUGCACUGCCGUGUCCGGCCUACGUCUGGUCUAACGUCCAUAGUGCCCUUAACCGGGUGCUAUGGAAUGCCAGAAAGUUUACUCUGAAAAAAUUAGAGUGCUCAAAGCAAGCCGUUUGUGCUUGAAUACUGUUGCAUGGAAUAAUGGAAUAGGACCUCGGUUCUAUUUUGUUGGUUUUCGGAGUCGAGGUAAUGAUUAAGAGGGACAGACGGGGGCAUUCGUAUUGCGCCGUUAGAGGUGAAAUUCUUGGAUCGGCGCAAGACGAACAACUGCGAAAGCAUUUGCCAAGGAUGUUUUCAUUAAUCAAGAACGAAAGUCAGAGGUUCGAAGACGAUCAGAUACCGUCGUAGUUCUGACCAUAAACGAUGCCAACUGGCGAUCCGCCGCAGUCUGGCUUAAAGGACUCGGCGGGCAGCCUCCGGGAAACCUAAGUCUAUGGGUUCCGGGGGAAGUAUGGUUGCAAAGCUGAAACUUAAAGGAAUUGACGGAAGGGCACCACCAGGAGUGGAGCCUGCGGCUUAAUUUGACUCAACACGGGAAAACUCACCCGGCCAGGAC
rnacentral:rRNA from 1 species